rnacentral:rRNA from 1 species
CGUGCUUAACACAUGCAAGUCGAGCGUAAGGCCCUUCGGGGUACACGAGCGGCGAACGGGUGAGUAACACGUGAGCAACCUGCCCCUGACUCCGGGAUAAGCGGUGGAAACGCCGUCUAAUACCGGAUACGACCCNCCACCUCAUGGUGGAGGGUGGAAAGUUUUAUCGGUCAGGGAUGGGCUCGCGGCCUAUCAGCUUGUUGGUGGGGUAACGGCCUACCAAGGCGAUUACGGGUAGCCGGCCUGAGAGGGCGACCGGCCACACUGGGACUGAGACACGGCCCAGACUCCUGCGGGAGGCAGCAGUGGNGAAUAUUGCACAAUGGGCGAAAGCCUGAUGCAGCGACGCCGCGUGGGGGAUGACGGCCUUCGGGUUGUAAACCUCUUUUACCACCAACGCAGGCUCCACGUUCUUCGUGGGGUUGACGGUAGGUGGGGAAUAAGGACCGGCUAACUACGUGCCAGCAGCCGCGGUAAUACGUAGGGUCCGAGCGUUGUCCGGAAUUAUUGGGCGUAAAGAGCUCGUAGGCGGCAUGUCGCGUCUGCUGUGAAAGACCGGGGCUUAACUCCGGUUCUGCAGUGGAUACGGGCAUGCUAGAGGUAGGUAGGGGAGACUGGAAUUCCUGGUGUAGCGGUGAAAUGCGCAGAUAUCAGGAGGAACACCGGUGGCGAAGGCGGGUCUCUGGGCCUUACCUGACGCUGAGGAGCGAAAGCAUGGGGAGCGAACAGGAUUAGAUACCCUGGUAGUCCAUGCCGUAAACGUUGGGCGCUAGGUGUGGGGACUUUCCACGGUUUCCGCGCCGUAGCUAACGCAUUAAGCGCCCCGCCUGGGGAGUACGGCCGCAAGGCUAAAACUCAAAGGAAUUGACGGGGGCCCGCACAAGCGGCGGAGCAUGUUGCUUAAUUCGACGCAACGCGAAGAACCUUACCAAGGUUUGACAUCACCCGUGGACCUGUAGAGAUACAGGGUCAUUUAGUUGGUGGGUGACAGGUGGUGCAUGGCUGUCGUCAGCUCGUGUCGUGAGAUGUUGGGUUAAGUCCCGCAACGAGCGCAACCCUUGUUCCAUGUUGCCAGCACGUAAUGGUGGGGACUCAUGGGAGACUGCCGGGGUCAACUCGGAGGAAGGUGGGGACGACGUCAAGUCAUCAUGCCCCUUAUGUCUUGGGCUGCAAACAUGCUACAAUGGCCGGUACAAUGGGCGUGCGAUACCGUAAGGUGGAGCGAAUCCCUUAAAGCCGGUCUCAGUUCGGAUUGGGGUCUGCAACUCGACCCCAUGAAGGUGGAGUCGCUAGUAAUCGCGGAUCAGCAACGCCGCGGUGAAUACGUUCCCGGGCCUUGUACACACCGCCCGUCACGUCAUGAAAGUCGGCAACACCCGAAACUUGUGGCCUAACCUUUCGGGAAGGAAUGAUUGAAGGUGGG